rnacentral:rRNA from 1 species
UAGCCUUGACAUUGAUAGAAUACACCAGAGAUGGAGUAGUGCCUUUCGGGGAACUUGAAAACAGGUGCUGCACGGCCGUCGUCAGCUCGUGUCGUGAGAUGUUGGGUUAAGUCCCGCAACGAGCGCAACCCUCGUCCUUAGUUGCCAGCAGGUUAAGCUGGGCACUCUAAGGAGACUGCCUUCGUAAGGAGGAGGAAGGUGAGGACGACGUCAAGUCAUCAUGGCCCUUAUGGCUAGGGCUACACACGUGCUACAAUGGGGCGUACAGAGUGUUGCGAUACCGCGAGGUGGAGCUAAUCACUUAAAGCGUCUCUCAGUUCGGAUAGCAGUCUGCAACUCGACUGCUUGAAGCUGGAAUCACUAGUAAUCGUAGAUCAGCAAUGCUACGGUGAAUACGUUCCCGGGUCU